UACCAGCACCCCGAGUGGUCGGGACGAUUAUUGGGCCUAAAGCAUCCGUAGCCGGUCAUGCAAGUCUUCCGUUAAAUCCACCUGCUCAACAGUUGGGCUGCGGAGGAUACUACAGCGCUAGGAGGCGGGAGAGGCAAGCGGUACUCAUUGGGUAGGGGUAAAAUCCGUUGAUCCAUUGAAGACCACCAGUGGCGAAGGCGGCUUGCCAGAAUGCACUCGACGGUGAGGGAUGAAAGCUGGGGGAGCAAACCGG
rnacentral:rRNA from 1 species